UGUAUGUGUGUGUGUGCGUACAUAUACAUGUAUACACAAUCGUACAUAUACGUACCUAUACACAUACACACAUACAAACACACACAUACA
rnacentral:miRNA from 1 species